UACGAAGGGGGCUAGCGUUGCUCGGAAUUACUGGGCGUAAAGGGCUCGUAGGCGCCAACUAAGUCAGACGUGAAAUCCCUCGGCUUAACCGGGGAACUGCGUCUGAUACUGGAUGGCUAGAGGUUGGGAGAGGGAUGCGGAAUUCCAGGUGUAGCGGUGAAAUGCGUAGAUAUCUGGAGGAACACCGGUGGCGAAGGCGGCGAUCUGGGUAGAUACUGACGCUGAGGUGCGAAAGCGUGGGGAGCAAACAGG
rnacentral:rRNA from 1 species